rnacentral:lncRNA from 1 species
GUCUUAAUCAAUGAAUAUUAAAAACUAAGCACUGGAUACUAAUUUUUCCUUCUCUUUAUAUAUAGAUAACUUUAUCCUUGAGCAUUAAAUUCUCUUGGACAACGUUUUCUAAAAACUUUAGUCUACCCUCAAGAGCUGUAAUCCUUUGAGAUGGGUAGAUACAUCUAGUUUUAAGGCUGCUACUUCUAGUUUUAAAGCCUUAUUUUCUAAUUCUAACUCUCGAAUACGUAAGUCUCGUUCUCGUAUAUCAAGUUCAAGACUGCGUACCUUGUGCGACUGGUCUUCUUGUGCAACAGGGGUAAUUACAGGUUCCUGUUUCACAAACUUAGUACACAUAAAACAUCCAAUAGUUUUACAAGUACUACAUCUAACCUUACACUCGUAACCAGGCCAUCCUCUACAAAAAUGGCACUGCUCAUCGAGGCUUCCUUCGUAUGGUGUGAAUAUAUGUUCACAGGCCAUCUAUCAUGUUCUGAAAACUAUUACUAUUGAAGUCUCCAGAUUCGCUUGUCAAGAAGUCGAAGUCUUCAUAUUCUUCGUCUUCAGGCUGUACAUCGUCAUACUCAGAGAACUCUGAUAGGGAGUAAUCUUGAGCAUCUAUAAAUUCUACAUCAGUGAAAAUACUAAAAACAGAAUCAUCACUGUCAUAAUCAGAAUCUGCUGAAAUAAUAAUGCAUUCAUUAAUCAACUUGUUAUAGGCUGGUUGCUUACCUCGCUGUGGACAUACAUUGGCGAGAUGUUCUUUGCUAUUACAUAUAUAGCAGGCACACUUCUUUUUAUAUGGUUUCCUAGGUUAGGUUUAAAUUUCUUAACAUGCUUCCUAGGAUUGAAAUUUCUCCUAAAAUUCUGACUAGGCCUAAUGUUCUUAAACUUCCUAAAAUUAGGUCGUCUGUUGAACUGUUGCCUAAAUGGUUGUCUAGUUCUAUUAUAUUUUUGAACUGGACGUCUAACCUGUUUUCUCUUCGUUCUUUUAUAUUUUUCACGAAGAUCACUAUAUCCUUCUUGACAUAAACCCCUACAUAUACUAUGGUCUAUAUGAUUCUUAGCUUGUUGGAUUUCUUAACGCUGUCUGCAGAAAUCAGCAAGCUGCAAAAAGGUGAACUUAUAACAUAGCUAAGAUUAGAAUAUUUAAAAGUAUUUAAAAUCUUACGCUGUUCGUCAGUGGUUGCUGCUGCUAGAGCUGCUUCUUCUUCUUUAUAAAAUCUAUCCUUAAUUGCUUGUCCUAAAUCUUGAACCAAUUUUGCAAGAUAUUAAACGCAAACUUGUUUAUCAUCAAUUACUCCUCCUAUACUAGCAAGUCUUUAACAACUUUUUAGAAAAAGGAGUAAUGUUCUUCAUACUAUUGAUAGAACAUUGUGCUAAAGCGUUUAUAGCGCGUUUCUGAAUUGGCGAACUAGGUCUGCAAGGACUAGUAUCACCUGUGGCUAUUUCUCUAACUGUAUUAACAAAGUUAUUUAUAUUUAAAUCUUGAGAUAUCCUGUAUGUUGUAUAGUUUCAGGGUAUCUAAACCUAAAAUUGUCAUAGGCCUUUUUAAAAUCUUGACCUAAGAACGAUUCUCCCAAUUCCCAUAAAUCUUCGGUUUUGGAGAAAGUCUUUGUUAAUCUAACAUAUGCACGCUUAAGUGCGUCUUCCCAUUUAUCAACUGCUGAAUAGGUGAAAGGUUGAGUUCUAAACCAUUUUCUGCUUUUUCAAGCCUAGGGGUUUCUGUAGGUUUUUCCUCUAGCAAUUUUAUAUUUAUUGUUGUUGUUGCUAGGGACAUAAGGCCAUCUCCAAUCAAAGGAUAGUCAGAUGACUUGUUUUAGCCUUCUAAGAAAUUAAUAUUUUAAUGAAUAAUGCAUUGCCAUAUUUCUUAGGUCAUCUCUAAUCGAAGAGUCCAGAAUGCUAAAAAUAGUCCGAAAACCGUCUCCAAUCGAGAGCUAAGCCAAAUGGCUCGUGGACCCCACGGGACAAAAAAAGGCCAAAGGGCCAAUCGGCUGGCCCAAAGGGCUCGUGGACCCCACUAGACAAAAAAGGGCCAAAGGACCAAUCGGCUGGCCCAAAGGAGCUAGUCAGCUAGCCCCAGGCUGGGCCAUAAAUUUGAAACCAACAGCUAGCUGACGUCAAUUACCUUUAUUUGAAUAUUUUUUUUUGGCCAAAUUUAAAAAUAAAUAAAUAAAUAUAUAUAUAUAUAUAUAUAUAUUUAAUUAUAGGCCUAUAGUUGAAUGUUUGAGUGUUCUUUUUAUAGGCUUUGGAGCUUGCUCAAAUCUCUCCCAUAUCCGAUGUGGGAUUCUCACCCACUUCCUUUUCUUUUCUUUUUAUACUUCCUCUCCCACAGCCGAUGUAUGACUCUCCCACCCACUUCCAUUUUUUUUUUCUACUUCAUCUCCCACAGCCGAUGUGGGACUCUCCCACCCACUUCCUUUUUUUUUUAUAGUCUAAAUAAAACCUCUCACAUUUGACUUGAAAUAUAUAAGUUGUAUUUUUUAAAUUUUACUUGUAGUUAUUAAAUUUAAGUUGUAUUUUUUAAAUUUUGGCUGUAGUUUUUAAAUUCAAGUUGUAGUUUUUAAAUUUAAAUAAUAAAUUAUGUUUGGCCCUUUGGCCCUCGGUUGGAGGUGGUUUUUUGUGACAGGGCUAAAACGAGCCAUAUGGUUCUUUGGCCCUCGUUUAGAUAUGAUAAGGCCAUAUCUAACCGAAGGCUGGUUAGAGGGCUCGUUUUAGCCCUCUGGCUCUCCAAGAAAUUAAUAUUUUAAUGAACAAUGCAGGGCCAUAUUCCUUACCAUCUCCCAUUGAGGGCCAAAGGGCCAUAGGGCUCGUUUUAGCCCUGUCACAAAAAAUCGUCUCCAACCGAGGGCCAAAGGGGGCUAUAGUAUGGGAUGUGAAGAAUUGAAAUAAAAUAAGGUAAGAUAGUAUGGAAUAAUGAAAAAUAUGUGAGAAAUGGUGUAAGAAAACAUUAGAAAUUAAAAAUUAAAAAUUUAAAAAAAAAUUUAAAAAAAAGGCUGCUAGGCAUAAAAACAAAAAGUAGGCUGAGACCCUAAAAAAAAAAAAAAAAAAAAAAAAAACUAAGCCCUAAAACCUGAAGUGGGUUGGGCAAUGGGCAAAGAACAAAAAAAAAUGAAAUUGGGCUAGCCAGCGAGCUGGUUGGCUGGCUGAAAGUGGUCAGCCGAUUGCCCAUUUGGCUCUUUCAGAUUCUGUAGGGCCUACAAGCCCUCUAGCCUAGCCCUCAGUUGGAGACGGUUUUCGGGCAUUUUCGACCAUCUGGCCCCCUUCAGUUGAAGAUGGACUAAGAAAUAUGGUCUUGCAUUGUUCAUUAAAAUAUUAAUUUUUUGGAGGGUCAGAGAGCUAAAAUGAGCCAUCUGGCCAGCCAUCGGUUGGAGAUGGCCUUACCAUCUCCAACCAAGGCCAAAAGGUCAUAAGGCUCGUUUUAGCCAUGUCACAAAAAGCCGUCUCCAACCGAGGGUCAAAGGGCUAUAGUAUGGAACGUGAACAAUUGAAAUAAAAUGAGGUAAGAUAGUAUGACAUGGUGAAAAAUAUGUGAGAAAUGGUGUAGGAAAAAAUUAUAAAUAAAAAAAAUGUCCAUAAAAAAAAGUGGGAUGGGCAUAAGAAACAAAAAAUGGGCUAGGACAAAAAAAAACCUAAGUCCUAAAUCCUAAAGUGGGCUGGGCAAAUGGAAAAGAACAAAAAAGAAAAAAAAAUGAAAUUCUGCUAGACAACGGACUAGCUGAAGAUGGCCAGCCGAUUGGCCCUUUGGCCCUUUUUUGUCUAGUGGGCCAGAUGACCGAAAAUAGCCUUAAAACCGUCUCCAAUUGAGGGUCAAGCUAAUGGGCUCGUGGGCCCCAUUGGACAAAAAAUGGCUAAAUGGCCAACCGGCUGGCCAUUUUCAGCUAGCCAGCCAGCCCGCUGGCUAGCCCAAUUUAUUUAUUUUUUGUUCUUUUCAAUUUGCCCAACCCACUUUAGGGUUUAGGGUUUAGGUUUUUUUUUUUUUUUUUUUUUUUUUUUUUGUCCCAGCCCGUUUUUUGUUUUUUAUGCCCAUCCCACUUUCUUUUUUUUUUUGGACUUUUUUUUUAUUUCUAAUUUUUUCCUACAUCAUUUCUCACAUAUUUUUCACCAUGUCAUACUAUCUUACCUUAUUUUAUUUCAAUUCUUCACAUUCCAUACUAUAGCCCUUUGACCCUCGAUUGGAGACGGUUUUUAGUGACAGGGCUAAAAUGAGCCAUAUGGCCCUUUGGCCUUCGGUUGGAGAUAGUAAGAAAUAUGGUUAUGUACUGUUCAUUAAAAUAUUAAUUUAUUGGAGGGUCAAAGGGCUAAAAAAGGCUCGUGGGCCCCACGAAAUCUAAAAAUGCCAAAGGGUAAACCGGCUGGCCACUUUCAGCCAGCCUGCUGGCUAGCCCAAUGGCCCUCGGUUGGAGACCCUUUUUUGUGAUAAGGCUAAAACAAGUCCUAUGGCCAUUUGGCCGUCGGUUGGAGAUGAUAAGGAAUAUGGCCCUGCACUGUUCAUUAAAAUAUUAAUUUCUUGGAAGGCCAGAGGGCAAAGAAAUUAAUAUUUUAAAGAAUAGUGUAGGGUCAUAUUCCUUAGGCCAUCUCUAACCAAUGGAUGGCCAGAUGGCUCAUUUUAGCCCUCUGGCCCUCCAAGAUUCUCCAAGAUAUUAAUAUUUUAAUAAACAGUACAGGGCCAUAUUUGCCUUCGUCUCAAACUGAGGGCUAGAGGGCCAGAGGGCUCUUUUUAGCCAUUUCACAAAAAACCGUCUCCAACCGAGGGUCAUAGGGCCAAACAUAAUUUAUUAUUUAAAAACUACAACUUAAAUUCAAAGGAAAUUAUUGAAAAAAUAUUGAAGGAAAUUAUUGAAAAAUUGAAACAAAUAUUAUAGGUGAAGGAAAUAUUGGAAAUAUAUUGAAGGAAAUAUUGAGAAAUAUAUUGAAGGAAAUAUUGCAAAUGAAGUGAAGAAUUGAAAGAACUUCACCAUAUUUAUAGAAGAAAAGAAAUGUUUAAAUUAAAAAAUUAAUAAUAAUAAAAAUAAAAUAAAAAAACCCAACAGCUAGCUACAACAACUAGCCAUUAUAUUCAAAACAAUUUCAAACUAUUAGUGUCGGUUAUAACCGACACUAAUAGUAAAUAAAAAAAAAAUUGCCUAUGAAUACCUAUUACUGUCGGUUAGUCGGUUAUAACCGACAGUAUUAAAAAAUUCUUCUUUAAUGUUGUCGGUUAUAACCGACAGCAAUAGGAGAACUAUAAAAAAAAUAGCCAGCCCUUUGGCCCUUUGAAAUUCCGUGGGGCCCUUCCAGAUUCCCGAGCCCUCUGGCCUAGCCCUCUAUUGGAGACGGUUUUAGGGCUAUUUUCGACUCUCUGGCCCUCUGGACCCUUCGAUUGGAGAUGGCCUUACCAUCCCCAACCGAGGGCCAAAGGAUCAUAGUGCUCGUUUUAGCGCUGUCACUAAAAAUCAUCUCCAACCGAGGGUCAAAUGGUCAUAGAGUUCGUUUUAGCCCUGUCACUAAAAAUCAUCUCCAACCGAGGGCCAAAGGGCCAAGAAUAAUUUAUUAUUUAAAUUUAAAAACUACAACAACUUAAAUUUAAAAACUACAACUAAAAUUUAAAAAAAUACAACUUAUAUAUAUCAAGUCAAAUGUGAUAGGUUUUAUCUUGAGUAUAUAAAAAUUAAAAAAUUAAAAAAAAAAGAAAAAAAAAGAAGUGGGUGGGAGAGUUCCACAUCGGCUGUGGGAGAGGAAGUAGAAAAAAAGGAAGUGGGAGUCCCACAUCUGUUGUGGGAGAGAUUUAAGCAAACUCCAAAGCCUAUAAAAAGAACACCCAAACAUUUAACUAAACAUACUUUCUAGGCCUAUAAUUAAAUAUUUAAAAAAAAAAUUUGGCCCAAAAAAAAUAAAUAAAUAACGGUAAUUGAUAUCACCUAGCCGUUGCUAGCUGACGUCAGCUAGCCAUUGGUUUCAAAUUUAUGGCUCGGCCUAGGGCUAGUUGGCUGGCUUCUUUGGGCCAGCCGGUUGCCCCUUUGGCCCUUUUUUGUCCAGUGGGGUCCAUGAGCCCUUUGGCCUAACCCUUGGUUAAAGACGAUUUUCGGGUUAUUUUCGCCCCUUCUAGCCAUCUGGACCAUUCGGUUGGAGGGCUCAUUUUAGCCCCCUGGCCCUUAAGAUAUUAAUAUUUUAAUGAACAGUAUAGGGUUAUAUUUGCAUCCAUCUCCAACCGAUGACUAAAGGGCCAGAGGGCUCGUUUUAGCCCUGUCAAAAAAAAAUUAUCUCCAACCGAAGGCUAAAGGGCUAUAGUAUGGCAUAUGAAGAAUUGAAAUAAAAUAAGGUAAGAUAGUAUGGAAUGGUAAAGAAUAUGUGAAAAAUGGUGUAAGAAAAAAAUUAGAAAUAAUUAAAUAAUUAAAAAAACAUCCAUAAAAAAAAAAAAAAAGGUGGGCUGGGACCAAAAAUGUUCCUAAACCCUAAACCUAAAGUGGCCUGAAAGAAGAAAAAAAGAAAAAAAAAAAGAAACUGGCUGGGCUAGCCAGCUGGUUGGCCUUCUGGCCCGUUGUUAUCCCGUAGAGCUUACGAGCCCUUUGGCCUAACCCUCAGUUGGAGACGAUUUUCAGGCUAUUUUCGGUCUUCUGACCCUUUGGACCAUUCGGUUGGAGAUGGUCUAAGUUCCUGUCCUAUAGCAGCUAGAGUUGUUUGGUAUAACUCCAAAUUCGUCUUCUUUCUUAUCUCCGCUACCUUCAGCUUGGUCUACAAAAACUACUUCUGGUUCAGAAUGUUCUAGCUUCAAACUUGCUAGGUCUUCUUCUAUCCAACUUAAAUCUGUAAAAUUAUAUAUGUCUCCAUCUAGAUAUUUCUACCUUGGUUCAUACUCUUAUAUGUAUGAUCAGGUGGUUUGAUUUUAGCAUAUAUUCCUCUAAGUGAUUCUAUAGUUCCAUAUAAAUCUGUGAUGGUUUUAUCAAAUUUAAGAUCAUCUCUAACCGAAGGGUCCAGAUGGCCAAAUGGCCAAAAAUAGCCCUAAAAUCGUCUCCAACCGAAAGUUAGGCCAAAGGACUCGUGGGCCCCACGGGACAAAAAGGGGCUAGAGGGCCAAUCGGCCAACCAGCUAGCUUGCUGGCUAGCCCAUUUUGUUUUUUGCUUUUUUUUUCUUUUCCACUUGCUCAACCCAUUUUAUUUAUUUAUGGGGCUUUUUUAUACAAGUCCAAAAACAUAGAGUGUUUUUAGGAGUGACUCAAGUUAUCUAAUUAUAUGUUUUUAUUUCUUUUAUACUCCUUUUAUAUUUUCUAAAAAUAUUAAAAAUCAAUUAAAAUUUUAAUAUUAUGCAUUUUUCAACUCCAAAAUAUCUAAUUAAUAUCUUAUAAACAAAAAAAAAAUUAAUAUACUAACAUAAAUCUAUCUGCAAAACAUUCUACCAUAACUCAAGUAGCAAAUAUAUGAAUGUAUAUUAUACCUUUAAGUGAGAUAUAAAACCUAACUAAAAGGUAGAAAAAAAACAUAAUAUACCUACGAGUAAAACACAUUAAUCUGUGACAGGUUGACUUGAAAAAGAAUAUGUCAUAUAGGUAGACAAAUACAAUUACCCUGUGAUAUAAGUUGAUUAUAAAAAUUAAAAAAAAUCUAUAAAUGGGUUAAAGCAGGAGGAAGAACAAGAAAUAACAAAUAAAUAAAUAAAAAGAAAUAAUCAAAGAGAUAAUUAGGAAGAGAAAUUUGAUUUUUACAAUAAGUUUUUUCUUUUAAGAGAUAAUUAUUGAUAAUUAAAUAAUUAAAUUUAAAGAAUUGGACUUAUUUUAAUAAACUGGACUAUUCCUACUAUUGGCUCAAAAAAUUGGAGUUAUAUCAAGUUUCCCCUUUAUUUAUUUUGUUAUUUCAGCCCACUGUAGGGCUUCCAGACCACUUUAGGUUUAGGGUUUAUGAACUUUUUUGGCCCCAGCCCACUUUUUUAUUUAUUUUUUAAUAGCCCACUUUUUUUUUUUUUCUAAUUUUUCCUACACCAUUUCUCACUUAUUUUUCACCAUUCCAUACUGUCUUAAUUUAUUUUAUUUCAAUUAUUCACAUUUCAUACUAUAGUCCUUUAACCCUCGGUUGGAGAUGGUUUUUUAUGACAGGGCUAAAAUGAGCCACCUGGCCCUCGGUUGGAGAUUGAGGAAAAUAUAACCAUGUACUGUUCAUUAAAAUAUUAAUAUCUUAGAGGGUUAGAAGGUUAAAACGAGCCAUCUGAUCAGCCUUCGGUUGGAGAUGGUCUUACCUGCAUGUAAUUUAUAGAUUCUGCAAGUGUUUAUAUUUUCAAGCUUUUCUAGUCUUAAAGCUAGACUCACAAAAACUUGGUCUAUUUGUUCUUUAGUGGCUAAAGUGUUUACUAUUCCGUUUAUAUCUGGAAAUUCAACACUCUUAUUUCUUUUAACAAUUUUCUUUAUAACAGAAAUUUGUUGUUCUAACUCGGUAAAUCUUUUCAUGCUUAUAAUCAUGUUUAGAAUUUACUUUUAGACUAGCAAUUUGUUGCUGAAUCCUACAAGCCAUACAGCUAACAAAAUUUAACUGACCUGUCACGCUGAUAAUUCCCAGAUCCAUACCUGGUACCACUACCACGUGAGGGUAAUGCCAUGAAAAUUGUCCAUCCUUAUAAAAACUGCACAACGUUUUACAAAGGUAAGUAUCUCUUUCAUCCAGAGGUCUUUCCGAAGAGAAGAUCUCCUUCAGAACUUUCUUAAAAGGAAUAAAAGUCGAUUAAGAUCAGGAAUAUUUCACCUGAAAUAUAGCCGUCGGGUGCAGGUAAACACACUCUAGGAUCUCUAGGAUUAAUAUAAGAAAUUAGCAUCAUUUCCCAUUGUAUUUAAAAAUUACCUCACAGUUUGUUAUUGAAAUUGAAAUUGUACAGGACUCGGGGAUCUCGAUCUCAAAGCCGGCUGAUGGAAGGUUUCAAGAACGAGUCUCUUGCUCUAUCAACUGAUGAUUUGAAAUGAGAAGAGAAGACAUAUCAAGGCCUUCACCGAGAAGGCAUCUUUACCAACAGUCGCACAUGGCCACUUGGACUAGUCGACCAUGACUCGUACAAAAAUAAUUGAGAUGGAAUCUCAAUUAUUCAACAGAAUACAAUAAAUAAAGAAAAAGUGGUUCAGAACACUACUGAGAACCCAUUUUCAAAACUGUGAUUAUUUUCCCCUA